AGUUUGAUCCUGGCUCAGAUUGAACGCUGGCGGCAGGCCUAACACAUGCAAGUCGAACGGUAACAGGAAGCAGCUUGCUGUUUCGCUGACGAGUGGCGGACGGGUGAGUAAUGUCUGGGAAACUGCCUGAUGGAGGGGGAUAACUACUGGAAACGGUAGCUAAUACCGCAUAACGUCGCAAGACCAAAGAGGGGGACCUUCGGGCCUCUUGCCAUCGGAUGUGCCCAGAUGGGAUUAGCUAGUAGGUGGGGUAACGGCUCACCUAGGCGACGAUCCCUAGCGGGUCUGAGAGGAUGACCAGCC
rnacentral:rRNA from 1 species